GAUGAACGCUGGCGGCGUGCCUAAUACAUGCAAGUCGAGCGAACAGACGAGGAGCUUGCUCCUCUGACGUUAGCGGCGGACGGGUGAGUAACACGUGGAUAACCUACCUAUAAGACUGGGAUAACUUCGGGAAACCGGAGCUAAUACCGGAUAAUAUAUUGAACCGCAUGGUUCAAUAGUGAAAGACGGUUUUGCUGUCACUUAUAGAUGGAUCCGCGCCGCAUUGGCUAGUUGGUAGGGUAAAGGCUUACCAAGGGGACGAUGCGUAGCCGACCUGAGAGGGGGAUCGGCGACACUGGAACGGGGACACGGUCCAGGGUCCUGCGGGAGGCAGCAGUAGGGAAUCGGCCGCAAUGGGCGAAAGCCUGACGGAGCAACGCCGCGUGAGUGAUGAAGGUCUCCGGAUCGUAAAACUCUGUUAUUAGGGAAGAACAAAUGUGUAAGGAACUAUGCACGUCUUGACGGUACCUAAUCAGAAAGCCACGGCUAACUACGUG
rnacentral:rRNA from 1 species